rnacentral:rRNA from 1 species
AGCGAACGCUGGCGGCAGGCUUAACACAUGCAAGUCGAGCGGGCAUCUUCGGAUGUCAGCGGCAGACGGGUGAGUAACACGUGGGAACGUACCCUUCGGUUCGGAACAACUCUGGGAAACUGGAGCUAAUACCGGAUACGCCCUUAUGGGGAAAGGUUUACUGCCGAAGGAUCGGCCCGCGUCUGAUUAGCUAGUUGGUGGGGUAACGGCCUACCAAGGCGACGAUCAGUAGCUGGUCUGAGAGGAUGAUCAGCCACACUGGGACUGAGACACGGCCCAGACUCCUACGGGAGGCAGCAGUGGGGAAUAUUGGACAAUGGGCACAAGCCUGAUCCAGCCAUGCCGCGUGAGUGAUGAAGGCCUUAGGGUUGUAAAGCUCUUUUGUCCGGGACGAUAAUGACGGUACCGGAAGAAUAAGCCCCGGCUAACUUCGUG